rnacentral:rRNA from 1 species
UACGGAGGAUCCAAGCGUUAUCCGGAAUCAUUGGGUUUAAAGGGUCCGUAGGCGGUUUAAUAAGUCAGUGGUGAAAGCCCAUCGCUCAACGGUGGAACGGCCAUUGAUACUGUUAAACUUGAAUUAUUAGGAAGUAACUAGAAUAUGUAGUGUAGCGGUGAAAUGCUUAGAGAUUACAUGGAAUACCAAUUGCGAAGGCAGGUUACUACUAAUGGAUUGACGCUGAUGGACGAAAGCGUGGGUAGCGAACAGGAUUAGAACCUCCGAGU